GCCGUUUUUUGAGUCUAAAGAAUGCUGACUCUUAAUCAGUUGGUCGACGGUUCGAAUCCGCCCGAGGGCACCA
rnacentral:tRNA from 1 species